rnacentral:rRNA from 1 species
GAAUCUUGGACAAUGGGGGCAACCCUGAUCCAGCGACGCCGCGUGGGUGAUGAAGGCCUUCGGGUUGUAAAGCCCUUUCGACGGGGACGAUGAUGACGGUACCCGGCGAAGAAGCACCGGCUAACUCCGUGCCAGCAGCCGCGGUAAGACGGAGGGUGCUAGCGUUGUUCGGAAUCACUGGGCGUAAAGGGCGCGUAGGCGGCCCAUGCCGUCGGCUCGUGAAAGCCCGGGGCUCAACCCCGGAGGUGCGGCCGAGACCCAUGGGCUGGAGGCCGGAAGAGGAGGGUGGAAUACCCAGUGUAGAGGUGAAAUUCGUAGAUAUUGGGUGGAACACCGGUGGCGAAAGCGGCUCUCUGGUCCGGUCCUGACGCUGAGGCGCGAAAGCGUGGGGAGCAAACAGGA